GCCCUCGUAGCUCAGUGGAGAGAGCACUUGCUUGCGGAGCAAGGGGUCGCGUGUUCGAAUCACGCCGAGGGCGCCA
rnacentral:tRNA from 1 species